UACGUAGGGUGCGAGCGUUAAUCGGAAUUACUGGGCGUAAAGCGUGCGCAGGCGGCUUUGCAAGGCAGAUGUGAAAUCCCCGGGCUUAACCUGGGAACUGCAUUUGUGACUGCAUGGCUGGAGUGCGGCAGAGGGGGAUGGAAUUCCGCGUGUAGCAGUGAAAUGCGUAGAUAUCGGAAGGAACACCAGUGGCGAAAGCGGCUUCCUGGUCCAGCACCGACGUUCAGGCACGAAAGCGUGGGGAGCAAACAGG
rnacentral:rRNA from 1 species